UGCUCUGCUCUGUUUCAACAUAAGUUGUUGCUGAGGUUGAGGGUAGAAUCAGGGACUUUCCCUUUCUGCUCUAGUCGCUGUCUCCUUCUGAUCUUAUCUCAGUACAUUGUGAGUUGACCCCUCCUAUUGCAUAAAUUAUGCAAAAUAACUAGUAGAAUGAGCUCUUCCAUGGUAUGUUAAGGGCCUUUUGUUAGUCUUUCCUGGGAAGUUGCACAACUAUAACAUUAACCUAUUUAAUCCCAUGUGACCGUAAAAAAAGUUUCCAGUUAUACGGCUCUAUAAAUGUUACAUCAAUGCAUUUAUAGAAAAUAUUGAAAUGAUAAAGGGUAGCAAUGAAAUGUGUAAAUUGUCACAUGACCAGAGCUGUUUACUUCCUGGUUACACCAUGAGAAGAGGAUGGCUGCAUCAAAACUCCCAAACAAAAGUUUCACUUUGAGUCAAGUUCUGGAUAUGUUGGAUCUAGGUGACCGCCCAGACAAGGCAUGCAACAUUACAGUUAUCCCUCAAAAUGAGAGAUGCUGUCCUCCCUCAAAAUGAGAAAGAUGCUGUCCUGAGUGAUUGCAAUGGGUCAGAUAUGGACUAUGGACCAGAUAUGGACAGGCCAUUUGCCAGCCAGGCUGUUGAAUGCAUAUGCUGAACCUAUGCAAACAGAUCAUGACAGGAACAACGUUAUCAGUGACGAUGACCUGGUCACAACCAUAAAACACACUUUUCACCUACUUUUCCAUUAAAACUUUGAAAAAGAAUGAUUGAUUACUUCAAAGGGUUACUAAUGACACUGGAUUUGGAUAUUUCAUGUCUGGGAAAAUGUUGGGAUUAAAUGCACACCUUUAGUUUCUCA